AAGGGAUCCAGAUGGAUGAUAAUAUAAGAAUUAGAAGAAAAGUUGUCCAUACUUAAUGUAUAUUGAAGGACAAAGAUGAGUAUGAUUACUAGUUUUAUUUUGAUGGAUGAUGAGAUAAACAAACAUCUCACAUAAUUGGAGGAAAAAAUGAUCCAACUCAUCAAGAUCGUCUCCCGACUAGAGAUGCCUUUAACACAAGCACCAGCAACUCUUAUAGUGAAGUUGUCUUCUAUAUUUAAAGACGAGAAUCUA
rnacentral:lncRNA from 1 species